CAAUUUAUUGACUCGCGGUUGUCCUUUAAUUUAAUUAAUUUAAAAUUUUAGGACAAUUUAUUGUAGCUGUAUCAUUGCUAGGCCGUGGUGAAUCUUACAAAGCACUGGUUCGACUCGCUGCUUAUCGAAAAGACGUACAAAGGUCUACAAGAAUUGACAAUAAUUUUGUCUGGUUGCGGUUUAUAUACGACUGCAUUGAAGCCGUAUCUAUGGGAUAUAUUCUACCAGCAGCAUGUGGGCAAAUUGUACGCGGAAAUAAAAAGGUUGCGUUCUUGCGCAAUCAACACCAGCUAAUAGUUCAACAUGUUCGCAUUGGCACGUACUGCCUCAAACGCCCCUAAGCGGCCGUGCGUUGUAAGCAGGAUUUGCCGAAGCGAUUAUGCCGUUUUGGAACCAAUCAUCUGCCGUGGAAUCAUGGAAUUGCACCAUCAGAAGCAUCAACAACAUAUGUGCAUAAUUUGAAUGCUGCCAAACUGAAGCACAGAAAAACUGUGAUGUGACUACGACCAUCCCAUGUUGAAGCUAUCUGGGAUAUCCCCAACUGGAAGGAUAUCGCUAAUCGCCUCGCUGCCGCUGCUAAGAGGGGCGUCGAGGUAAAUCUGGAAAACAUUUCGAAAUCUCUGGAGCAGUACCGUUAGGUCUAAAACCGCUGAUAAAGGGACAUAUUUUUAGUGUAUUGUUUCCUGAUUGACAUUGGAGUGCCGGAGUAAGUGCUAGUGACACGAUGAGUCGAGAGCAGGACAGAAGAGCUGCCAUACUAGAGUCACUUCGCGCCGGAAAAAGCCCCAAAGAGAUAUUUGAGUGGUUUGGCUACAAAAAAACGGAACCCUGGAUAGACCGCGUGGCUGCUGGAAGAGAAUAUGUGUUUCAGCAGGACUCCGCACCUGCUCACAAGGCAACUCAGGCUUGGCUCCAGAACAACCUAUCCUACCACUGGUCACCAGAUUUUUGGCCACUUUCAAGCCCAGACUGCAAUCCUCUUGAUUAUUACGUGUGGGGCACAGUUGAAGCAAAAGUUAACGCGAAGCCUCAUAACACUAAGGACGCUCUGAAGACAACCAUCGAGGAAGUGAUGAUCACAAUGGACAAAGAGGAGGUAGCUCGCGCAUUUGGGCGCUUCAAGUCCCGGCUGGAGCAGGUAAUUGCACGAGAUGGAGGUUACAUUAAUUAACUUUAAACUAUGAUAUGUGUACUCACAUUAUACAAAGUUAAGUGCAAUUAAAAUUAUUUGUGAGUAAAUAUCCAAUAGUUUUGUUUUUAAGUUCAACAUUCCGGAUUUACCUCGACGACCCUGUAUAUUGAAGAUUUGUUGGACUUGUAUGAAACAAAAUCAUAUUAAGGCAGAUUUUAUUUAUUGCUAAGUUUAAACUAAAGUUUUUAGUUUUUGUAGAUAUAAAGUGACAAGUAUUUCCACUAUUUUGUUGGUUAAUGAAAUUAUUAUGUUAUAAAUUAUUUCAUGUAUAGCGGUGUG